GCCGGGCGUUGUGGCGGGCGCCUGUGGUCCCAGCUACUUGGGAGGCAGAGGCAGGAGACUCGCUUGAGCCCAGGAGUUGGAGGUUGCUGUGAGCUGUAAUGCCACGGCACUCUGCCCAGGGGGACAGCUUGAGGCUCUGUCUCAAAAAAAAAAAAAAAAAAAAACACCAACUCAUACAUUUUUUCUUUUUUUUUUUUUUUGAGACGGAGCCUCAAGCUAUCCCCCCUGGGUAGAGUGCCAUGGCAUCAUGCUCACAGCAACCUCCAACUCCUGGGCUCAAGCGAGUCUCCUGCCUCAG
rnacentral:SRP_RNA from 1 species